rnacentral:lncRNA from 1 species
AUGCAGAACUAGCUUUCUCGCAUUGAAAGCUGCUUUGGAUGUAGAAACGCGCCAUGAAAUACUUCCCCUACAUAUUUAUUAUGUGCUUGCUCGCGGGCCCUAAUUUUCUUGAAGGGCGAGGUAUGGGAGGAUGCUCUCAAAAGCCAAAAGGUGGAAACUGUGUAGGGCACAAGACGUGGUAUUAUGACCCGACAACAAGAACAUGCAAAGCUGCAUUGUUAGGAGUAUGUGCUAAACAGAAAGGCAUGAAUAGUUAUCCGACGUGCGAAGCGUGCCUCAAGAGAUGCGCUGGUCACCUGAAUCGUCGACAAAUUGAAAAGGCCUGCAUCCUUCGUGCCUAAACUCCAGGAAAGAAAACGGAAACGGAGAAGGCCCCUUCCCUCGAGUCAAUGAAUUGGCCUGGAGAUAAAUAUAUCCAAGAAAAAUAAAAGAAAG